rnacentral:rRNA from 1 species
CCUACGGGAGGCAGCAGUGAGGAAUAUUGGUCACUGGGCGCGAGCCUGAACCAGCCAAGUCGCGUGAGGGAAGACGGUCCUAUGGAUUGUAAACCUCUUUUGUCGGGGAGCAAAAGACGCCACGCGUGGCGUUCCGAGAGUACCCGAAGAAAAAGCAUCGGCUAACUCCGUGCCCGCAGCCGCGGUAAUACGGAGGAUGCGAUCGUUAUCCGGAUUUAUUGGGUUUAAAGGUUGCGCAGGCGGAAGAUAAAGUCAGCGGUAAAAGUGAGAGGCUCAACCUCUUCGAGCCGUUGAAACUGGUUUGAUUGAGUGAGUGAGAAGUAUGCGGAAUGCGGGGUGUAGC